rnacentral:lncRNA from 1 species
GGCUAAGUGAUAUAGAUUAUAUAGUGUUAUUAUCUACCUUUGCUACUCCUUCUAAGUCUUUUUUUCUAAUAUUAUUCUACUAUAAUAUUUUAUAAUCAUUCGCGCGAGUUAAACAAAUGGUACCAGAAUAAAUAACAGUUUCAACUUCGGGAGGAUUCUUUUAGGACAACUCAUAUUGAUUUUUCGGUACACGAUAUCUCAGCUCAAAACCUUCCGAUAUAUUUAAAAUUCAAAUUAAAAAAUCUAGCUAAUAGAACUGAAAAAAAAAAAAAAAAAAAAAAGUAAAAGUCUAAUUUUGCACCUCCUCCUAUAUCUUUUCUUUAUAUUAUUCUGCUAUAAUUUUUUAUUUUCUGAGAAAACUAGUAUAAUAUUUUAGUUGUUGAUAAUCAAUCAAGUUGGUUGAUUUGAUUGCACAUGUGUGGGGGGUGUUUUAUACAAAGGGAGCCCAGCAUAAGAUGCAUCCGGGUGUGAAGAGAAAUUAUUAUUUUUAAAAUAUUAUAUUUUUUAGGUUUUUCUCCUCUAUUAUCACAUUGUUAUAUUAUUAUUCUAUAUUAAUGUUUAUGAUGAUUGUGGGUUAGAUAAUGGAUACAGGGACAAAUGCCGAUUUCUAUAAUUAGUAUUGAGUUAAGCUAUAAUACUUUUGAAAGUAUUACUAUUCAGAUACUUCUAACUUUUCAUCAGUAUCAAAGCAAAAAAAUCGCUUCUAACGAGUGUUCUCAGAGCAAAUAUCGCUUCCAACAUAUAAGACCUUGUAAUAAUGAUUUUAUAUAUUGGUUAGUUUAUCCACCCAGCCCGAAGAGAUGUACCCAUUUGGCAACAGUUUAUGUAAUUAGGGGCCACUUUGUUUGGAUGUGUUGGUAAAUAUAUAUGCAGUCUAAAUAGAGAUGUAUGCAGUAGUUAUAACUAUAUAAAUUUUAUUUGGCUGGAUACAGUAGAAAGUUGUGCAACUAUAAAUAAAUUGUUUGAUUGCGUAUAGUCGAGAAUUUGCAUUUUACAAAAAUUUUUAUUACCUUUAUUUUAUUUAAAUAAUUUCGUAAUUAGGUAACUACAAAUUCAGUGUCAGGAUGGCCGAGUGGUCUAAGGCGCCAGACUCAAGUUCUGGUCCUCGUGAGAGGGCGUGGGUUCAAAUCCCACUUCUGACAUUUUUCCAUUUUAUUAUUAAUAAUAAUAAUAUUUUAUUAAUUAUUAAUAUAUUUAUUUUUUACUUACAUGUAAAUGAGGCAUUUAUUUAUAAUUAUUUAAGUUUCGUAUGCUGUAUUACUGUAUAGAACGAUUGCAUUAUGACUGGCAUUUCGGUUUCGAUUUUUAUCUUCGCUUGAAACUAAGUAACACUAUUUGGUUUGGAUUAUCUGGAUUUUAGUUUGGUUCGGUUACGAAAACAACUAGGGUUUGAAUCUGUUUCCAGUUGAAAACAAAUUUUCCUGAACAUGCAACUUAUCCAAUGUUUUUCUACGCGAGAAGGAGAAGGUCAAGAGUUUCCUAAUGAUAUUAAGAAGUAGGGAUAUGCAAGCUUCUGAACCAUAAACAAAUAACAAGCAGAAAUUUCAAUUUAGAGCUUUGGAUUUUAGUUAAAAGCUUAACCCAGAGAGCUCAACUUAAUCAAGCAGGUGCCCAAAAGCUUUGUCUAGAAGCUGCAGCUUUACAAGGCCAAAAGCUCAAGGAAUUGAUAUAUAAAGCCAUAUUUUGAUCACACCAAUGCACUAUCAAAGUUGCAUAUUAAUCAGCUAAUAACAGAACAGAGUUACAGUUAUUUUCAGUUUCUGUUACAAGAGGGCGAAAUCCCCCGACAAAAAUAAAACAUCGAGUCGCAGGUUUGGUAACCGGUGACUUGGAUUGUUUACUUGUGCUCGUAACCACGAGCAAUUCGUCUUUACCAAAAAAAAUAAUAGUGCUUUUAUUUAAUGCUCCUGCCUCUUUAACUCUCAGGGGCAGGACAUAAAACUGUCUCAGCUCAAGAAAACAUUAGUCUAGCAGUGGGGAAAACAAAAAAAAAAAGAAGACUACUGCUGAGUGUCGACUACUUCGAUGAGGGUCGUCUCGUAGUCGCUGGGGGCCUCAAAGCCAUGGAGAUUCAUGACGGUCGCAGCAACAUUAGCGAGGCCGCCCGUGGGUACGUCAUUGCGGAAUCUGACUCCAGGGUGGAGGCCUGGACCUCCUAUGGCAACUGGCACCUGCAGGAAAUUUAUAGAUAGGCAAUCAACAAAUUGUACAUAAGAAACUAUUUUUAUAGAACGUAGAUCACAAAAAAAGAAGAAAUAUUUAAGUUUACAUACCAAGACAUGUUAACGAUAAAAUGGAAUGCACAAGACCACCAAUAGAUAAUGCGAAGAACAUGACAUUGGAGGACUGUACACUUUGCAUGGCAGUUCAAAGGCCAUUUUGAAAUAUAAGAGAGAAAAGUAGUCGAAAAAUGUACUGAGACUUCCUCAACUAUAGGCCAAAUGAAAACGUGCUAACAAUAAAAUGUAAGUGCACAACACCGAGAGAUAAUGCAAAGGACAUGACAUUGUAUAGCAGUCCACAGGCCAUUUUGAAACAUAAAGAGUGAAAGAGAGUUUGAAAAUGUACUGACUACUGAGGCUUCCUCACUAUAGGCCAAAUGAAGGAUGAAUAACAGGCAGGUUUCUU